CUCUGUACUGCAGGGUAACGUGCCAGAAUUUGCCUACAAGGGUGAUUACAGCAACAGGGGUAAAGCAGAUGUCUUCAUUUAUACCCCAAGCAGGCAAGAUGAAGACUCUUUUUCUUGUUCUCCUCUUCUUCUCCAGUACUUUGAUGCCCACCUCUGCUACAGAAAAAAACAUCCAUGACGAGACGUACAGAGACGUACAGUUCCUGCGAAACCCAGCCGCAGCGUCAGAGACCAAAGCGGCUCACUGCCCCAGAGAUACUCUUCUCCUGCUGGUGGAUCCACGGACGCCCUCAGACGAGAUACAGUACGGUCACACUCAAGGAGCUGUAGCCAAUAGCAGGAACCCGGCUGCUUUGCCCUCUCUGGUGCACGUUACCCAUAAUUCCUCUCUGCUGUGUACACCUGAGAACAUUGG